rnacentral:lncRNA from 1 species
GCUUUUCAUCUAAAUUAUUCAUAGCAUACAACUCCAGUAAAACCAACACAUUCACAAGCAUAUAUGUAUGUACAUUAUAUAUAUAUACAUCAGAGCAUGAUUAUUUUUUUUAAAUAAGAGAAGAAAGAAGAGUAGAAAUAUUUUGAAACAUGUCGAUAAUUGAAGUUUUGAACUUUGUUCUUGUCUGUCGGAUCUGAGUGUUUGGAGCGUUUGAGUCGGGAAAACUGAGGGUGUGUAGUCGACGGUGGCAGCCAAGGCUGCUGUAGCCGGAAGUUUCAGAGAGGGAGGGGUGUGCUGACGGUGGUGGCGUGGAGCCAUUGACCGCGGCUGCCGGACCUAGAACAGGGGGAGUUAAGAGAGCAGAGGGAGUUCAGGGAGGCGGCAGCCUUGCUGUUGCUGUCGCCAAGGAGGAGAGAGAGAGGGGUGAUGGCCGGCGGCCUUGGUGCCGUCGACUUGAGGAGGGAGAGCCGAGCGUCGUCAGCGGCUGUCGCUGUUGCUCUGGCAAGCUUCGGCGGCGGCGGCAGCGGAAUUCCGAGGGAGAGGGAGGAACGGGCAAUUGAGAGAGAGCCGAGGAUGGCGCGGCUCGUCGCCGCUGCUCCUCCGGCGAGCUUACUUCUGGAAGAGUGAGAGGGAGACUUGAGGUGAGGAAAGGAGAGAGGUCGAAGGGAAGGAGAGAGGAGGCGGAGCCGCCGGCCUCCGGGGACGGCGCUGCCGUCCGGUAGCGGCGGCAGGAGAGCGCAGAGGGCGAGAGAGAGUGAGCGGCUGAGAGGGAGAGAGAGAUAUGUUGUGUGCGUGAGAGUGAAGGGAGGAAGAGAAGGGGAAAUAGGGUUGAGGGACUUGGGCCGAAUAUUGGGCCGAUUUUUAUGAGUGAUGGGCCGAUUUUUAAAUAGAUUUGGGCUGCGAUUUUUUUUAAAAGCUUGGGCCGAUUUUUAAUUUUAUUUAGCUGGGCCCGAUUUAUUUUAUUCAGUCUAGGCCAUUCCUAUUUUAUUGAGUUGGGCCUCAUCUUUUAAAUUUAUAUGAGCUAUUAUUUAUUUAAGCAUG